rnacentral:lncRNA from 1 species
AGCUGAGCUCAGGAAAAUGUGGCUAAUGAUUCAUGCAGACAUGGCUCAAACCAAAAGAGUAGAUCAUCUGUUUUCCAGCUACAGACCGCAGACUGCAGUGCAUAUGUGUAUAUAAAAUCUCCACAUGUCUAGAUAAAAACUGAAAACAGGUUUAGUCCAGGGAGGCAGCUGACCCCCACUUUCUGACUACCAAUACCUGUCUAUCUUUUUGUGCAUCUAUCUAUCCAUCAAUUUAUUUUAAGGAAUUUGGCUAACGGCUGGGAAGAAUGGCAAGUUUGAAGUCUGCAGAGUAGGCCAGCGGUCUGGGAACUGGAGAAGAGUUGCCAUUUGAAUCCAAAGUUGGUUUGCUUCUUUCAGGAAGGUCAAUCUUUUUCUAUUAAGACCUCCAGCUGACUGGAUGAGUCCAUCCACACUCUGGAGGGGACUCUACUCAAAAAUCUACUGAUUGAAGUGUUAAUUUCAUCUAAAAAUGCCUUUACAGAACAAUUUGAAACCAAUAUCAGGGCCCCAUGGAACAGCCAACUUGACACACACAGUGUCAUCACAGAACGCCAGACAACAGGAGUGAGGUAGGAUAGAAUAAAUAAGAAGUAGAAAGGGGACAUAAAGAAAUGACAAGGAAAUGAGAUUUUAAUUCAAAACUUCUACAUUCUUUUCUAGUUCUUUGCCUCCCUAAUCCAGUCUCUCUCUUCCAGCCCUGUUACUCCCAAAUUCCUGUAAAUUUACCCAUGCACUGUUAAUUAAAUCCCCCAAAAGUUGAUUAAGAGAGCUAUAAUAUUUUUGAGAAGCCUAGAAUUUAGGGAACUUUCCAGUGCCAUCUAUUGAUCAGAUCAUGAAGACCGCUCUAUUCUGAGAAUUCUGAGACUGACCAGCCCCCAUCAACCAUCUUGAGAUCACUAACUGAUAUAAUUCAUAUAUAUAUAUAUAUAUUUUUUUUCUAUACCCACCUUCACCUAGUUCUCUUUAAAAGAACUAAAAAUACUC